rnacentral:rRNA from 1 species
UACAGGGGGUGCAAACGUUGCUCGGAAUCAUUGGGCGUAAAGCGCACGUAGGCGGUUCGUUAUGUCGGAUGUGAAAGCCCUUGGCUUAACCGAGGAAGUGCAUCCGAAACUGGCGAGCUAGAGUACUAAAGAGGAUCGCGGAAUUCCCGGUGUAGAGGUGAAAUUCGUAGACAUCGGGAGGAACACCGGUGGCGAAGGCGGCGAUCUGGGUAGAUACUGACGCUGAGGUGCGAAAGCGUGGGGAGCGAACAGG